GUUUUGUUCUAAUUAUUGUAUUUAUGACGGUAGUGCUAUUGUAUUCUUUUUGGUUUAAUUUUUAUCAUUGCUAUAAAAUUAUAUAUCAUCUCGGUUGACUAAAUGGUUUGCCUUGGUUGAUUGUCUGUGGUUACAAGGGUGUCAUAGAAUAUGCGCUAUUUUUUCCUUUGAACUAAUGGCGGAGGUAAAAAAAUGAAUAGCAUGCAUUUUUUCUCAUGAUUGAACCUGCUAACUGAGGUGAAAAGUUGUUUGAUCAUGAGUUCGUUUCUCAAUAAAAUCAUUUUGGUAUUUAGGCGUGUGGAUUUUUCCCCACGGUUGUUACUUUUAAUCGAGGGGAUAAUAUUUCACAACGGUUAUAAUAAACUUAUAGAUAAAAUAAAAUACAUAUUUUGUAACAAUACUAGAAGGAAUUUUGUUGAAGAAUAAACAAUUUUUUUUAAAAAAUAUGAGAACUAACAUAGACAACUUUAACACGAAGAAGACAACAAUAACAUAACAACGGUAGAGAAUAAUAGUGGUGGAAGGAGGCGAGAGGAGCAACUCAAUGAAUAAAAAGUUUUUGUGACUUAUAUUAUUUUUACUUUCUAUGUUUGGGAGUUUGGUUCUAUAUUCGUGUUUUUCUAAAAUGAAUUAAACGUAAACAAAGAUGGAGAAUAAUUUGACCGAUAUAAAAUUUGGGCUUAAUGAUGGAUGGAAUAAAAGGUUUAGAGCAUAACUAUAUCAUUGGUUCGACUCGUCGAUUUGUCGGUUCCUAAAAAUUAAAAUUGAGAAUCGAACCAAACCACAUCGAUUUUCAUUAGCUUGAUUUGGUUUUUGGACCGAAUGAGAAACAAUCAGAUUUUUUUCGAUUCGGUUUGGAUUGUCAAUUUAAUUGGUUUUUUCUGAUCCGCUUACACCCUUACAUUAACAUUUUAGUUUUUAAAUUUUGUUGUAGUUCAACUCUCUCACUCUCUCACCCUCAUUGAACUUCUCCCACCCUCACCCUUACUUUGUUCAAACUUAGAAUUUGUCAGGCUAACCCUCACCUUUGCCUUCAAUGAACAAUCGUCCGUUGAAAUUCUCUUCAAUUUCAUCUAGUAUUAACCUUUUUAGAAUAUUUAUUAAAACAUAUUCUACUUGUAUAUCUACAAUACCAUAAUCAAAUAUGGUAUUCAAAUCCUCCAAUAUAUCUACAAUACCAUAAUCAAAUACCAUUAUAAUUUUCUAAAAUAUUUUUACAACUUCGUAAGGGAUAAAACUAAAAUUAAAUAAAUAUUUAAGAAUCUGAACAUUACAUGCUAUAAAAAGAUCAAACUAUGCUCUAUAUUUUACAAGUAAAGUAAAGUUUAAAAUGGCUGAAAUUCUCAAGUUAUUUUAUAUUUGGUUUUCUUAUAUUUUAUUAUUUGUUACAACAUCACAUGCUGUUGGUAAACCACUUUAUUUAUAUAUAUUUUUUCUAAUUUAUUUUAAACUUUCAAGUUUGUAUAUAAUAUUUUAUUAAGUUUUCUAAUAUUACUUUAUAAUCUCUUUUCAUUUCAGAAAGAUAUAAGUUACUUCCUUACGAAUGUGAAGUUGAUAAAGAUUGUCCUAGAGAAUUAUAUCCUCAAUAUAUUGUUAAAUGCAUCAGUCUGUUUUGCCGUAUUGUAUACCAGAAUUAAAGAUCUUAAGAUAUGUUAAAUGGAAAAGUAUCUAUAAAAAAUAAAUGAAUAAUAUAUUAUGAUAAAAUUUAUCUUCUAAAAUAGCAUUUAUUUAUUGUUCAAUUUUUUUUUUUAGUUUUCUGAUUUCAUGAACCUUGUAUUUACGAUUUUAACUUGUACUUUAAAAUGAUAGUAAGAAAAUAAACAAUAUAACAAUGACAUAUAUCCAAUUCAUCUAUAUUACCUUAUUUUUAAUCCCACACACCUGUAAAAAUAACUUUAUAUUUUCAUUUGUAAUUUUUUUUAACUUACUUCAAAAUCUAUAUUUUUAUGUUAAAACCACAUGUUAACUUAUAGAUUUCAUGUCUAAAAAUCUGUAUUUUGAUGUUCUAUAAAACAAUUUGAUGGUUUUGGAAACAAGAAAUUAUUUAAUGUUCUUUAUUUCCGGAUGAAUAUUUUGCUAAAAUCUAAAAUUUGAUUAUGAGUUGUAUUUAUUAUUAGUGAUACUGUUUUGUUCUAAUUAUUGUAUUUAUGACGGUAGUGCUAUUGUAUUCUUUUUGGUUUAAUUUUUAUCAUUGCUAUAAAAUUAUAUAUCAUCUCGGUUGACUAAAUGGUUUGCCUUGGUUGAUUGUCUGUGGUUACAAGGGUGUCAUAGAAUAUGCGCUAUUUUUUCCUUUGAACUAAUGGCGGAGGUAAAAAAAUGAAUAGCAUGCAUUUUUUCUCAUGAUUGAACCUGCUAACUGAGGUGAAAAGUUGUUUGAUCAUGAGUUCGUUUCUCAAUAAAAUCAUUUUGGUAUUUAGGCGUGUGGAUUUUUCCCCACGGUUGUUACUUUUAAUCGAGGGGAUAAUAUUUCACAACGGUUAUAAUAAACUUAUAGAUAAAAUAAAAUACAUAUUUUGUAACAAUACUAGAAGGAAUUUUGUUGAAG
rnacentral:lncRNA from 1 species